UUGGGCUCACGAUUGACAAUUACGGG
rnacentral:piRNA from 1 species